rnacentral:rRNA from 1 species
AGCGAACGCUGGCGGCAGGCCUAACACAUGCAAGUCGAGCGGAUGUAGCAAUACAUCAGCGGCAGACGGGAGAGUAACACGUGGGAACGCGCCCUUCGGUUCGGAAUAACUCAGGGAAACUUGAGCUAAUACCGGAUACGCCCUUACGGGGAAAGAUUUAUUGCCGAAGGAACGGCCCGCGUCCGAUUAGCUUGUUGGUGAGGUAAUGGCUCACCAAGGCGACGAUCGGUAGCUGGUCUGAGAGGAUGACCAGCCUCACUGGGACUGAGACACGGCCCAGACUCCUACGGGAGGCAGCAGUGGGGAAUAUUGGGACAAUGGGCGCAAGCCUGAUCCAGCCAUGCCGCGUGAGUGAUGAAGGGCCUUA